GAUGAACGCUAGCGGCAGGCUUAACACAUGCAAGUCGAGGGGUAUAACACUUCGGUGUUAGAGACCGGCGCACGGGUGCGUAACGCGUAUGUAAUCUACCUUUUACAGAGGGCUAGCCCAGAGAACUUUGGAUUAAUACCUCAUGGUAUUAUGGAUAGGCAUCUAUUUAUAAUUAAAGAUUUAUCGGUAAAAGAUGAGCAUGCGUCCCAUUAGCUAGUUGGUAUGGUAACGGCAUACCAAGGCGACGAUGGGUAGGGGUCCUGAGAGGGAGAUCCCCCACACUGGUACUGAGACACGGACCAGACUCCUACGGGAGGCAGCAGUGAGGAAUAUUGGACAAUGGGCGCAAGCCUGAUCCAGCCACGCCGCGUGCAGGAUGACUGCCCUAUGGGUUGUAAACUGCUUUUGUACAGGAAGAAACCCUUCUACGAGUAGAAGAUUGACGGUACUGUAAGAAUAAGGAUCGGCUAACUCCGUGCCAGCAGCCGCAGUAA
rnacentral:rRNA from 1 species